CCCUUAGAUGUUCUGGGCCGCACGCGUGCUACACUGAGUGGAUCAGCGGGUCAGGUUGCGCGAAAGCGUUUCCUAAUCUUUAAAUCCGCUCGUGAUGGGGAUUGACGGUUGCAAUUUUCUGUCAUGAACGAGGAAUACCUUGUAAGCGCGGGUCAUCAUCCCGCGCUGACUACGUCCCUGCCCUUUGUACACACCGCCCGUCGCUCCUACCGAUUGAGUGGUCCGGUGAGGCUUUGGGAUCUGAGCGGAAAGAGCGUUUCGCUGUUUCUGCUCGGAAAACUCAGUCGAACCUUAUCAUUUAGAGGAAGGAGAAGUCGUAACA
rnacentral:rRNA from 1 species